rnacentral:rRNA from 1 species
GCAAUCUACCUUUUACAGAGGGAUAGCCCAGAGAAAUUUGGAUUAAUACCUCAUAGUAUUACGAAAUGGCAUCAUUUUGUAAUUAAAGUCACAACGGUAAAAGAUGAGCAUGCGUCCCAUUAGCUAGUUGGUAAGGUAACGGCUUACCAAGGCUACGAUGGGUAGGGGUCCUGAGAGGGAGAUCCCCCACACUGGUACUGAGACACGGACCAGACUCCUACGGGAGGCAGCAGUGAGGAAUAUUGGACAAUGGGCGCAAGCCUGAUCCAGCCAUGCCGCGUGCAGGAUGACGGUCCUAUGGAUUGUAAACUGCUUUUGCACAGGAAGAAACAACUCUACGUGUAGAGUCUUGACGGUACUGUAAGAAUAAGGAUCGGCUAACUCCGUGCCAGCAGCCGCGGUAAUACGGAGGAUCCAAGCGUUAUCCGGAAUCAUUGGGUUUAAAGGGUCCGUAGGCGGUUUAGUAAGUCAGUGGUGAAAGCCCAUCGCUCAACGGUGGAACGGCCAUUGAUACUGCUGAACUUGAAUUAUUAGGAAGUAACUAGAAUAUGUAGUGUAGCGGUGAAAUGCUUAGAGAUUACAUGGAAUACCAAUUGCGAAGGCAGGUUACUACUAAUUGAUUGACGCUGAUGGACGAAAGCGUGGGGAGCGAACAGGAUUAGAUACCCUGGUAGUCCACGCCGUAAACGAUGGAUACUAGCUGUUGGGAGCGAUCUCAGUGGCUAAGCGAAAGUGAUAAGUAUCCCACCUGGGGAGUACGUUCGCAAGAAUGAAACUCAAAGGAAUUGACGGGGGCCCGCACAAGCGGUGGAGCAUGUGGUUUAAUUCGAUG